AAAAAAAAAAAAAGAUGGGGAAAUGUGUGCACAUCUAUUGACAGCAGUAGAAAAUACAGAAGGUUUUACAGGAAAAAAACAAUCAAUACAUAAGUUACAUAAAAAAACAAACCUUGUUGCCAUCUUACUUUGCUCUGCAAAAUGAGCAGCUGAUCCCUUUCAGGCCUUGGGUGAGCAGCAGGCACAUGGGCACCUGGUUUUUCACCGCACAGCUU
rnacentral:lncRNA from 1 species